UAGGGAAUCUUCGGCAAUGGACGAAAGUCUGACCGAGCAACGCCGCGUGAGUGAAGAAGGUUUUCGGAUCGUAAAACUCUGUUGUUAGAGAAGAACAAGGACGUUAGUAACUGAACGUCCCCUGACGGUAUCUAACCAGAAAGCCACGGCUAACUACGUGCCAGCAGCCGCGGUAAUACGUAGGUGGCAAGCGUUGUCCGGAUUUAUUGGGCGUAAAGCGAGCGCAGGCUGUUUCUUAAGUCUGAUGUGAAAGCCCCCGGCUCAACCGGGGAGGGUCAUUGGAAACUGGGAGACUUGAGUGCAGAAGAGGAGAGUGGAAUUCCAUGUGUGGCGGUGAAAUGCGUAGAUAUAUGGAGGAACACCAGUGGCGAAGGCGGCUCUCUGGUCUGUAACUGACGCUGAGGCUCGAAAGCGUGGGGAGCAAACAGG
rnacentral:rRNA from 1 species